GGCCGAGUAUCACAAAUGAAACCAAUAGCAGCAUCCCAUGUUCAAGCAACAUUUAAUCUUCAUUUGACAAAAUCUUCCCUCAUUUUUAUGUUAAACACAAAUUCUGCUCAAAGUUUUUACCAAAAGAAAGGAGGGGAGAAAAAGAUUCCUAGCAGGAAAAAUUUCCUACCCCCAAAAGAGACAACCAAGUUUUGAUACCACAGCUAAUAUCUUUAGGCAGCA
rnacentral:lncRNA from 1 species